AGCGAACGCUGGCGGCAGGCCUAACACAUGCAAGUCGAACGAACCCUUCGGGGUUAGUGGCGGACGGGUGAGUAACACGUGGGAACGUGCCUUUAGGUUCGGAAUAACUCAGGGAAACUUGUGCUAAUACCGAAUGUGCCCUUCGGGGGAAAGAUUUAUCGCCUUUAGAGCGGCCCGCGUCUGAUUAGCUAGUUGGUGAGGUAAUGGCUCACCAAGGCUACGAUCAGUCGCUGGUCUGAGAGGAUGACCAGCCACAUUGGGACUGAGACACGGCCCAAACUCCUACGGGAGGCAGCAGUGGGGAAUCUUGCGCAAUGGGCGAAAGCCUGACGCAGCCAUGCCGCGUGGAUGAUGAAGGUCUUAGGAUUGUAAAAUACUUUCACCGGUGAAGAUAAUGACUGUAGCCGGAGAAGAAGCCCCGGCUAACUUCGUGCCAGCCGCCGCCGUAAUAC
rnacentral:rRNA from 1 species